rnacentral:rRNA from 1 species
UACGUAGGGUGCAAGCGUUAAUCGGAAUUACUGGGCGUAAAGCGUGCGCAGGCGGUUUUGUAAGUCUGUCGUGAAAUCCCCGGGCUUAACCUGGGAACUGCAUUGAGGACUGGAAGGCUAGAGUACGGCAGAGGGGGGUGGAAUUCCACGUGUAGCAGUGAAAUGCGUAGAGAUGUGGAGGAACACCGAUGGCGAAGGCAGCCCCCUGGGCCUGUACUGACGCUCAUGCACGAAAGCGUGGGGAGCAAACAGG